AAGGAAAUAUAUAUUUUAAAACAGACCAAGGUUACUUUUUUUUGGGGGGCUUUUGGUCUACAAACAAAACACAGAAACCCAAGAAGAGCGAGUGGGGAAUUUGACUUGGUCCUUUUUUUUUCUUUUGGGAUUGGUUUAUUUGAGGAUUUUUUUUUCCUCAAAGACUAGUCCACAGAAAAAAAAAAAGGAGGAAAUCAAAAGAACCACAGCAAAGAAAAAAACUAGUAGUUGCCUGAUAAAGAGUUUGGAAAGGAUGAAUAAAAAAA
rnacentral:misc_RNA from 1 species